rnacentral:rRNA from 1 species
UACGUAGGGCGCAAGCGUUGUCCGGAAUUAUUGGGCGUAAAGAGCUCGUAGGCGGUUCGUCGCGUCGGCUGUGAAAACCUGAGGCUCAACCUCAGGCCUGCAGUCGAUACGGGCGGACUUGAGUACUGCAGGGGAGACUGGAAUUCCUGGUGUAGCGGUGGAAUGCGCAGAUAUCAGGAGGAACACCGGUGGCGAAGGCGGGUCUCUGGGCCGUUACUGACGCUGAGGAGCGAAAGCGUGGGGAGCGAACAGG